UAGCUAGUUGGUGAGGUAAAGGCUUACCAAGGCGACGGUCUGUAGCGGGUCUGAGAGGAUGAUCCGCCACACUGGAACUGAGACACGGUCCAGACUCCUACGGGAGGCAGCAGUGGGGAAUUUUGGACAAUGGGGGCAACCCUGAUCCAGCCAUGCCGCGUGAGUGAAGAAGGCCUUCGGGUUGUAAAGCUCUUUCGGCCGGGAAGAAAUCGCAUGGGCCAAUACCCUGUGUGGAUGACGGUACCGGAAUAAGAAGCACCGGCUAACUACGUGCCAGCAGCCGCGGUAAUACGUAGGGUGCGAGCGUUAAUCGGAAUUACUGGGCGUAAAGCGUGCGCAGGCGGUUUUGUAAGACAGGCGUGAAAUCCCCGGGCUUAACCUGGGAACUGCGUUUGUGACUGCAAGGCUAGAGUACGGCAGAGGGGGGUGGAAUUCCACGUGUAGCAGUGAAAUGCGUAGAGAUGUGGAGGAACACCAAUGGCGAAGGCAGCCCCCUGGGUCGAUACUGACGCUCAUGCACGAAAGCGUGGGUAGCAAACAGGAUUAGAUACCCUGGUAGUCCACGCCCUAAACUAUGUCAACUAGGUGUUGGGUGGGUAAAACCAUUUAGUACCGUAGCUAACGCGUGAAGUUGACCGCCUGGGGAGUACGGCCGCAAGGUUAAAACUCAAAGGAAUUGACGGGGACCCGCACAAGCGGUGGAUGAUGUGGAUUAAUUCGAUGCAACGCGAAAAACCUUACCUACCCUUGACAUGCCAGGAACUUGCCAGAGAUGGCUUGGUGCCCGAAAGGGAGCCUGGACACAGGUGCUGCAUGGCUGUCGUCAGCUCGUGUCGUGAGAUGUUGGGUUAAGUCCCGCAACGAGCGCAACCCUUGUCGUUAAUUGCCAUCAUUUAGUUGGGCACUUUAACGAGACUGCCGGUGACAAACCGGAGGAAGGUGGGGAUGACGUCAAGUCCUCAUGGCUCUUAUGGGUAGGGCUUCACACGUCAUACAAUGGUCGGUACAAAGGGUUGCCAAGCCGCGAGGCGGAGCCAAUCCCAGAAAGCCGAUCGUAGUCCGGAUUGCAGGCUGCAACUCGCCUGCAUGAAGUCGGAAUCGCUAGUAAUCGUGGAUCAGCAUGUCACGGUGAAUACGUUCCCGGGUCUUGUACACACCGCCCGUCACACCAUGGGAGCGGGUUCCGCCAGAAGUAGGUAGCCUAACCGCAAGGGGGGCGCUUACCACGGCGGGGUUCGUGACUGGGGUGAAGUCGUACAAGCUAGCCGUAGGGGAACCUGCGGCUG
rnacentral:rRNA from 1 species